AAAUAAAAUAGUAUAAUUAAUAAUGUGUGUGUGUGUCUCUGUGUGUGUGUGUAUAUAUAUAUAUGUAUAUACACACACAGACACACACACACAUUAUUAAUUAUAAUAUU